AUGAUCCAAACUGCACAUAAGAGGAGAGUGCCGGUUAUCGCUCUUAAGUUGGACUUUCAGAAAGCUUUUGACUAUGCCAGUUGGGCCUGUCUUUUCCAGGUGAUGGAAGCUAGAGGCUUCCCCACAAAGUGGACACAGUGGAUUAAUACCCUCCUCUCUUAGGGCAGCUCUAGAGUCCUUCUUAAUGGGGAGCUAGGAGACCCCAUUAUUGCUAAGCGUGGUUUUAGGCAAGCGGAUUCUCUGUCACCGUAUCUAUUCUUGCUUGUGGCUGAUGUGCUCCAGAGAUUAUGCUUGCAUCACUUCAGGAACGACAACCUUGUACACCCACUCGAACCAAACAUCAAUGACUCAUUCCCGGUCUUGCAAUACGCGGAUGAUACUCUAAUCAUCUUCCGUGGCGAUGUGCAGCAGGCCAAUGUGAUCAGAGGCAUCCUGUCUGCUUUUUCAACGUUUUCAAGACUCAGUAUUAACUUCCACAAAAGCACCCUAGUCCCUAUAUGUGUGAAUGAGGAUGUUACCGCUGAGAUUGCAUCUCUGCUUGGGUGCCCGGUGUCCUCCUUUCCAUGCAACUACCUAGGGCUGCCUAUGUCCAUUCAUAAGAUCAAACAUGGCAUGCUACUACCAGUCAUUCACAAGGUUGGUCGCAGAUUAUCUGGUUGGCUGGCUUCGUUUCUCUCCUGGGGGGGGGGGGGUAGACUCACGCUGAUCAACUCAGUGUUAGCUGGCAUCCCUACCUACUUCAUGUCAUGCUUUUAG
rnacentral:rRNA from 1 species